GCCAACUAGCUAGCCCAUAGAAACAAAUUCAACACAACACCAUUAAUACCCCUAAAUACCCUAAUGUGCAGUUAAAUAAAUCAUUUUCCCCCCUUAGUAUGGGAGACAGAAAAGGGACUUCGGAGCAAUAGAGAGAGUACCGCAAGGGAAAGCUGAAAAAGGAAUGAAACAACCCAGUAAAGCCUUAAGAAGCAGAGAUAAAACCUCGUCCCUUUUGCAUCAUGAUCUAGCUAGUGAAACUCAAGCAAAGCGUUCUUUAGUUUGAAAACCCGAAGCUAAGGGAGCUACUCCAAGACAGCCUAUUAAUAGGGCAAACCCGUCUCUGUCGCAAAAGAGUGGGGAGAGCUUUGAGUAGAGGCAACAUACCUACCGAACUUAGUUAUAGCUGGUUGCCCACGAAAUGGAUAAAAGUUCAGCCUUACGGAUUCUCCCUUCAUUCAUAGGGGCAGACCCCCUACCACCCCUGAUAGCCUUAAGAAACCAUAAGAGUUAAUCAAAGGGGGCCCAGCCCCUUUGAAACAAGACACAACUUUUUCAGAAGGAUAAAGAUCAUAAUAACUAAGGUAACACCUCCCGUGGGCUCGAAAGCAGCCACCCCCUAAAGAAAGCGUCUUAGCUCAGAACAACCUUGCCCCGCUCUAAAUGCCGAUCAUCUAAUCUUAGUCCUCUACCUUUACUGGGUCGUCCUAUGCAAGCAUAGGAGUGACCAUGCUAGUAUGAGUAAUAAGAGAGCCCUCACCUCUCUCCUUGCAUGCGUGUACAUCGGUACGGAUUAACCACCGAAUAUUAACGGCCCCAAACAAAGAGGGCAUUGGAUAAUAAACCAAACAACCAGAAAAUUACCCAAUAACACACCGUUAACCCCACACAGGCGUGCGCCUUAGGAAAGACUAAAAGAAAGAGAAGGAACUCGGCAAACAUAAAGCCUCGCCUGUUUACCAAAAACAUCGCCUCUUGUAAAUAAAUUAAAUAAGAGGUCCCGCCUGCCCGGUGACUAUAUGUUCAACGGCCGCGGUAUUUUAACUGCGCGAAGGUAGCGAAAUCACUUGUCUUUUAAAUGGGGACCUGUAUGAAUGGCAUGACGAGGGCUUAACUGUCUCCUUUUUCAAGUCAAUGAAAUUGAUCUCCCCGUGCAGAAGCGGGGAUGCCCCCACAAGACGAGAAGACCCUAUGAAGCUUUAGACACAAGGCAGCCCCACGUUAAAAAACCUAAUUAAAGGCCUAAACUUACAAACCCCUGCCCUUAUGUCUUCGGUUGGGGCGACCGCGGGGUAAAAAUUAACCCCCACGUGGAAUGGGGGUAUAUACACCCCCCGAAGUCAAGAAUUACAUCUCCAGGCAGCAGAAUUUCUGACCAUAAGAUCCGGCAGCGCCGAUCAGCGAACCAAGUUACUCUAGGGAUAACAGCGCAAUCCCCUUACAGAGACCGCAUCAACAAGGGGGUUUACGACCUCGAUGUUGGAUCAGGACAUCCCAGUAGUGCAGCCGCUAUUAAGGGUUCGUUUGUUCAACGAUUAAAGUCCUACGUGAUCUGAGUUCAGACCGGAGAAAUCCAGGUCAGUUUCUAUCUAUGAUAUGUUCUUCCCCAGUACGAGAGGACCGAAAAGAAGAAGUCAAUAUUUUAAACACACUUCACCCCUACCCAAUGAAGACAACUAAAAUUGGCAAGGGGGCAUGACCCUUAGCCAAAGAAAAUGGCA
rnacentral:rRNA from 1 species